AUCACUUCUCGGCCUUUUGGCUAAGAUCAAGUGUAGUAUCUGUUCUUAUCAGUUUAAUAUCUGAUACGUCCUCUAUCCGAGGACAAUAUAUUAAAUGGAUUUUUGGAGCUGGGAGGUGGAAUAGGAGCUUUCUCCGUCUACUCCAUGCAUUGACCUGGUAUUGCAGUACCUCCAGGAACAGUGCACCAAAA
rnacentral:snRNA from 1 species